rnacentral:rRNA from 1 species
UGGGGAAUUUUCCGCAAUGGGCGCAAGCCUGACGGAGCAACGCCGCGUGAGGGAGGAAGGCCUGUGGGUUGUAAACCUCUUUUCUCAGGGAAGAAGCUCUGACGGUACCUGAGGAAUCAGCAUCGGCUAACUCCGUGCCAGCAGCCGCGGUAAGACGGAGGAUGCAAGCGUUAUCCGGAAUUAUUGGGCGUAAAGCGUCCGCAGGUGGCUAGUCAAGUCUGCUGUCAAAGACCAGGGCUUAACCCUGGGCCGGCAGUGGAAACUGGUUAGCUGGAGUACGGUAGGGGUAGAGGGAAUUCCUGGUGUAGCGGUGAAAUGCGUAGAUAUCAGGAAGAACACCGGUGGCGAAAGCGCUCUACUGGGCCGUGACUGACACUGAGGGACGAAAGCUAGGGGAGCGAAAG